AAUGAUAUAUUUACCCCGCCAACAUAGUCCAUGCAAAGGAAGAAAAGCAUGUAUUUUACUCACAUAUACUUAUUAAAUGCUUACCAAGUUCCACAUGUAGUGCAAGUUGUGUUUUGCAGAUCAUAUACAGGCAUACAGGUGGAAAGCAAAUAAAAAGGCGCAAUCCGACACGUAAAAAAUGCGCAAAUAAACAAGUACCCAAAAGCCCAC
rnacentral:lncRNA from 1 species